GUCAACAUAGAUACAACUGUAACCAAAACGUUUUAGCCAUCUAGAGGAGGAGGAAAAAAAGUGAGCGACAUGACUCAGUAUGAAUCACAUCAACAAGCAAAUCGUGCUGGCCAUGCGUGGGUAGACCGAAGAUGUCGGCAGAGACAAAUCAAGCGAUUCACAGAGAUGAUGAAGGGUCCCCUCCAGUGUCAGCCAAUCAGCCAUUUAGCAACGUUGCCCCAGAUGUACUUUGCACCAUGACGUCACACGCAAUCUAAAUUUUAACAGGUAAGUUGAUUCAAUAAAGGAUGCAGAACUUCACACAUAGCACUAACUAGUUAAUGUGUUCGAAACCUACCAACCAAGUAGAGAGACAUUUUUUGUGUGUGUACAAAGAUUGCAAAGCGACAACAAAACUUGAAUUUCAGGUGCUCCACUGCUCGAGUGCAGUGAGGAAAACAUAAGCAAUUACGCAUGUGGAUAAGGAGAGAAACAAGUCGCUAAUACACUUUAAGCCAUUUAUUAAACAGGACAAUGUUGUUAUACG